ensembl:misc_RNA Metazoa_SRP Metazoan signal recognition particle RNA
GCCAGGCAUGGUGGCGCAUGCCUGUAGUCGCAGCUACUCAAGAGGCUGAGACAGAAGAAUUGCUUGAACCCAGGAGGCAGAGGUUGCAGUGAGCCGAGAUCGUGCCACUGCACUCCAGCCUGGGCGACAGAGCAAGACUCUGUCUCAA